CCUACGGGAGGCAGCAGUGAGGAAUAUUGGUCAAUGGUCGGGAGACUGAACCAGCCAAGCCGCGUGAGGGAUGCAGGUACAGAGUAUCGUAAACCUCUUUUGUCAGGGAACAAAGGCGGGGACGUGUCCCCGGAUGAGUGUAGCUGAAGAAAAAGCAUCGGCUAACUCCGUGCCAGCAGCCGCGGUAAUACGGAGUGUGCAAGCGUUACUCGGACUCAAGGGGGGUAAAGAGCGCGUAGGCGGGGUGGCAAGUAAGAUUUUGCAUACUAUGGCUUAACCAGAGAACUGCAUUUGAAACUGUUAGUCUAGAGUAUGGGAGAGGUAGGUGGAAUUCUUGGUGUAGGGGUAAAAUCCGUAGAGAUCAAGAGGAAUACUCAUUGCGAAGGCGACCUGCUAGAACAUAACUGACGCUGCUGCGCGAAAGCGUGGGGAGCAAACAGGAUUAGAUACCCCAGUAGUC
rnacentral:rRNA from 1 species